GGUUUAUAAAUAUUUAUUACUUAACUUCAUAUUAAACUAUGAAAUAAUAGUUUGUAGGAUUUUCUUUAUAAAUAUGGUAUUUCUAUUGAGCAACAAACAUCAACAAAAAAUAUACACUAUCUGUAACAACAAAGACAUUAAGUUUUGUACCCAGGAGUUAUCUCCCAUAUCACAACCUUAUUUUAUAUCACAAAUUUUCCAUUUUACUUUCAGAACAUUGACAUUGUCCUAUUAUUUUUCAAAGUAUUUCAAGACACAUAAAUUGCAUUGACUUUCAAACUGGUGUUGGGUUAAACUAUAAAAUGAGAUAUUUGAAGGAGACAGUAUCAUUCAGUUUGCAGACCACAUUUUUUUUUAUCUUCAGCAUAACAUAACUAAUUGAUAAAUGAUUUAGGAUGGUUGUAUGAGCCAUCAGAAAGGUUGUCAUAUUGAAGCAUCACCAGACCUCAUCAAUGACAGAGAACAGAUCUAAAUGAAGUUUUAUUUCCUAUACUCUUUUCACAGCAACAUGAAUCAUCUCUUUUGAUGUUUGCUUGCAUUGAGUCAUUUUUCACAAUUCUUAUUAGGGAUGACUUUAAAAUUAUUACUAUGGUUUCAUUUAUUUUCAUUGGUUACAAUAUUCGUGGAUUGAGGAAAACUUGUAUUUUUGUGUAUACUUGAUUUCAUUGUUUUGUCUCUGCAUACAAAGCCUAUAUAAACUUGGACUAUACCAACAAAACCCAUGAAAAUCAGUAUCCAAUGAAUGAUAAUGAAUCCACAGUAUUGUAUUACUGAAAAUGAAAAGAAACAUAAGAUAUCAUAAUACAGAUUGACCUAUUGGUCUAUAACAGAUUUGAAAUAAGAUUUUUAGCAGAGAAUGGAUAACUUUUGAUGGUAGCUUUUCUAAAGACUUUCCAACGCUAUUACAAAUAAUAUCAUAUACUAUCAUCAACUUGUACAUGUGCACUGGUUAUAAUGUCAUUUCAGUUACCAAGGGAGACAACUCUAAAUAUUAUACAUUUAACAUGGGAUUACACAGUAAAUUGAAAAAGGCACUAGGGAUCUGGUAUAAAUAACCAAUUACAGAAACAUAUUGAACUCUAUACAAUGGAUGGUGUUUUCUAUAUUUACAACUUUAAUAAAAAAAAAGACACAAAUAUAAUUUACUAUAAUAGCUGUAUAUUGGAUACCAUUAGCACUAUCUUUCUUAAAGAGCAGAGUAUGAUAAAAUUAAAACGAAUAAAAGGAGAUGUGCAGCAAACAACAAUGAAAAUAAAAUGGAACAUGUCAUUUGACAUUAGGGCAAACAUUAUACCAAGCUUGAUGAGUUUUUUUUGUCAGGUUUGAGUUUUUUAUAUGCCAACAAGGGUUUAAUGCACAAGUAAAGAAGGACAAAACAUGUCAAACUCAUUCAAACCUUGUUAAGAUCUGACUAAUUCCCUGAAGCUAUUAUAAAAUUGAGAAAGGAAAUGGGGAAUGUGUCAAAUCUACAACAACCCGACCAUAGAGCAGACAACAGAUAACCUGUUUUUUUUUUUGUUUUACUUGUGCUGUAGGGUGUUACCCAUUACAUUAACCACACAUCUCCUUUUAUUCAUAUUACUUAACCCCUUCCACAAUUUUAAUUUUAGGAAUGUUUAAUGGUUUGGCUUCAUGAGGUAUCUUUCUGAUUUUAUAUAUGUAGUAUUUAUCAUGCUGAAUUAUUAUAAGGCAUUGAUUUUGGUACCAGGCUGUAACCAGAAUUAUAAUUUACAAAGAAGCAUGUCUUCAUGUACUCAGAUGGAUAAUUAGAUGAUAUAGUUAUAAUCAUUCAAUUCUAAUAAUAUAGCACCAUUUUGAAUAUGUAUUUUUAACACAGCUAUGAGGGAUGGAGGUAGUCAAAGUUUAUCAAAGUCAAAAUUCUUUGUAUAGGGUUCCAAAAAAAUGGUUUUCUGAUUACAUUAUUACAUAAAAAGAAUCCACCAAGUUAGGUUUCACAGUUAACAUUCACUAUAAAGAAUGAUCCAACCAAGUUUCACAGUAGACAGAUUCCAGAAAGUUAGGUUUCACAGUUAACUAUAAAUGACAAGGUUCAGUUUAAAUAUGGUUUUGAUACUUUCAUUAACAUUAAACAAAUAUGGGACAUUCAAGAAGGCAUAUUAACAAAAGAUAUAAAAUUCUUAAGUGAUUUGAGAGCAAUUUUAAUGACUACUCUGUUUAGAGUUGAUCAUUUUUUGGUGUACAGUAACAAAUAUUUGAAAAAUUAACCAU
rnacentral:lncRNA from 1 species